UUAGAGACGGAUCUGAAUUGG
rnacentral:miRNA from 1 species